UUAACGGAGAGUUUGAUCCUGGCUCAGGACAAACGUUGGCGGCGUGUAUUAGGCAUGCAAGUCGCGCGUGAAGCGAGCUUCGGCUCGUGGAAAGCGGCGAACGGGUGAGUACAACGUGGGUAACCUGCCUCGUAGUGGAGAAUAACCCUUCGAAAGAAGGGCUAAUACUGCAUAACACUCCCGGUGAGAAUCCGGUGAGUAAAAGCUACGGCGCUAUGAGAGGGGCCCGCGCCCGAUUAGCUAGUUGGUGCGGUAACGGCGCACCAAGGCGACGAUCGGUAGCUGGUCUGAGAGGAUGGUCAGCCACACGGGGACUGAGAUACGGCCCCGACUCCUACGGGAGGCAGCAGCUAAGAAUCUUGCGCAAUGGGCGAAAGCCUGACGCAGCAACGCCGCGUGGGGGACGAAGGCCUUCGGGUCGUAAACCCCUUUUGCGAAGGAAGAAGUUCUGACGGUACUUCGCGAAUAAGACACGGCUAACUACGUGCCAGCAGCCGCGGUAAUACGUAGGUGUCAAACGUUGUCCGGAUUUAUUGGGCGUAAAGAGCCCGCAGGCGGCUCUGUAAGUUCUAAGUGAAAUCUCCCGGCUCAACUGGGAGGGGUCUUGGAAAACUGCAGGGCUUGAGGCAGGGAGAGGGAUGUGGAAUUCCAG
rnacentral:rRNA from 1 species